CUUACACCAGCCCCAGAGUCAAGACUUGCCUCCUUGUCAGUGAAAUGGGGAUAAUGAGGACAAAGCUUAGAAAUGGAGGGACUUGGGGCUGGUCCCAUGGCCAAGCAGUUAAGUUCAUGCGCUCUGCUUCAGUGGCCCAGGGUUUUGCUGGUCUGGAUCCUGGGCGUGGACAUGGCACCACUCAUCAGGCCGUGUUGAGGUGGUGUCCCAUGUGCCACAACUAGAAGGACCCACAACUAAAAAAAUAUACAACUAUAUACUUGGGGGAUUUGAGGAGAAGAACCAGGAGGAAAAAAAAAAAAAGAAGAUUGGCAAUAGUUAUUAGCUCAGGUGCUAAUCUUUAAAAAAAAAAAAAAAAAAUGGAAUGGGCUUGCUCAAGAUCCCCUCACUGAGCGUGACAGAGACAGGCCUGACCCAGGUGUCUCUUGCUGGGAUCUUUACUCCCAGAGCCACUCAGAGACCUGCUUUCUUAGGGGUAUUUAGGGCCCUUCCCACAAGGAGGCCAGCUUUCUGUCCCCUGGUUCAGAAUGAGCUGUGGAGGGGAGGGAAUGAAGCCACCACUGGCUGACCCUGGCAAGUUCUGGCCACUCUGUGUUUGCUCAGCUGCAGGGUGCAGGUGGCAGGAGGGGAUGCUGUGGGCCUGGCUGAUAUUUUCAAAGGUGACAGGCCUGUGGUAAUUGAUGGCCACUGGGGGCCAUUGCUUCACGCGUGUUGUUGGUUUAAGGAUGACAAAGAUCUGACACAUUUGCCACGGCAGAAACCAGAGGAAAACAAAGGAAGUCCAAACUGGAAAGGGCCUGGCCUCCUUCAACCCUGGGAUGUCUUGGCUCUGAUGGUUCCCAAACAGCUAUGUCUGUGGGUCUUUCUCAGCCUGCCAAGGUCAGCCAGGGUAGAGGAAGUGCCCACAGCACCUUGCCAGUCCAGGUGUGGGACAGGGAAGGAGCCAGAAGGAGCAGCACAGCAGAGGCUCACGGAGCAGAGGAGCAGAGGAGCAGAGGCUGUGCCCCGAGGCUGUUCCUGGGCCCCUCAUUCCCAAGUUUGUAUGCCUGAGGAGCAGAGUGGAGUGGUGAAACUAAAAGAGGAGAAACCCAGGAACCAUCCCUGCCACACGGCUGUGAAGGUAGAGCAGGACACCAUUGUCCCUGGCCUUCUCCUGUCAGAACUUACAGGCUGAGGUUUGCAAAUUCCUGGAGAGAACAUAGCAACUUGGGCAAUGACGUGGGAGAGAACGUUCCCAGCACUGACGUGAGUCUCCCCACACCAGAGAACCAGAGAGCAGGCGAUUGAAGCUCAUGCUGCUCUGAACAGUUAUAGCAAAGGUAAUCUCCAUGACGGCAUUUGAAAUAGCCCCACUGCACUGGGAAGAUUGUGGUGGUAGGGAAGCCAGACUUUGAUGAAAAGCAGAAUCAAGGAUCCCUGGGUUUGGACUCAUACAAGGCCCUUGGGUCUUAAGGAACUCAGAACAAAGGCAGGGUUUGCCCCACUGGGCCCUUUCCCACACAAUGGGGUCCUGGCUGGGUGGGUAGAAGUAGAAUGCAAUCCAGUUUAAAAACUCCAUGAGAGCAGGGACUCUGUCUUUUCAUUACUAUAUCCUGAGCUCCGAGCUUGGGUCCUGAUGCUUAGGAGAUCCUUAAAAUUUUUUGUUCAAUGAAUGAGUGAGUGCUUGCAUGAAUUAAUGACGAGUGAAUAAAUGAAUGGUUCUAGAAUAAGUGACGUAAUGG
rnacentral:lncRNA from 1 species